CAUUUUGUCCCAAAAUUAAAGAACCCUAGGCAGCGCUUGCUCUCUGAAUCCAGUGGCGUUUCUCCACCAUUCAUCUGCGUCGUCAUCCAUCUGCGUCAUCAUCCAUCUACGUCGUCGUGGUCCUUGGUCUAUGCUGCACUGCUCUGCUUUGUUUGUCUUUGGUCUGCGCUGCGAUGCACUGCGUCUGCUCUAUUCGUCGUGUUCCGUCACCGUGCCUCACUUAGCAAUAAAAGUAAUAACGGAAGAGUGACGUGGGAAGGAUGCAGCAUCUUGCUUGACAUCAACGACGGUGACCGUCUCGUCUUCGAUCGCCUCUCUCCCGCUGCAAAUUGAAGAUUGGGAAUAAGAACUACUCUGUCCAACCUUUAAUCGGCACUCGCUUCGGUUCUCUCUUUCAGCUCGAUAGCACUUCCCUCUCUCCUUUUUAUACCUUCCCCUCAAGCAGGCUAGCUACUAUGCUUUGAUUGAAGCUUUUGGUGGAAAGGGCUAUCUUAUUGGGACACUUGAUGAACUUAAGUCUGCUCUUUUAGAAUCCUUCUCGGCUCGGAUACCGGUUGUUAUCAAUGUUAUUGUUGAUCCCUAUGCUGGUUCAAAGAGUGGGAGGCUCCAAUACAAGAAUUGAUUUUCAGAUUAUCUGUAUUAUACUGAAAUUACAUUUUCUAUGGUUUUCGUUUUUAGAUUUUAAAUUUCAAUAACACAAAUACCGAGCCUUGAGGUUUUCUAUGGUUUACCAUAAUAUGAUAAAGACACAAAUUAUAUUCUAUGAAUCCACACAGAUGUAAAAUGUUACAUGAUCA